AAUAUUUAUAUUUGGAUAACAGUGUUUCAACAUCGUUGGCCUUCUCCCUCCUGCUUACUCGAUGCCUCAAAAGCCCGUGGAAGGACGGAGUUCGCGGCAGGCGGAGGGUUAAGAGCCGAGCCAGCAGCUGCUUAAGGGGAGGGUCUGAAAACAGGAGAUCUGAAGUUCCGGUUCCACAUCCUUCUUAGAGGACACAAAGCCUUUUGUUUCUCAUCUCUAUUGCCCUCAAGAUUUGAUCAAGAGCCAACAGAGAGUAGGCUGAAGCUGAGGAGAGAGGAAUGCCUAAGAGCGGUGCUGUUGCUGCCCCAGCCCCCAACAUACAACGCAUGUGCGCCAUCCUCUGCCGCCUGGACCCGCGAGGGUAAGGGAGCGCUGGUCCCUGUGGUAUUUUCCAACCUCAGACCCUUCCAUCUCCUGCAGAGAGCUACCCUUCAAAUGGUAAAGAUGAGUUUUGCCAGUCUUC
rnacentral:lncRNA from 1 species